rnacentral:rRNA from 1 species
CAGCAGCCGCGGGAAUACAGAGGGUGCAAGCGUUAAUCGGAAUUACUGGGCGUAAAGCGCGCGUAGGUGGUUUGUUAAGUUGGAUGUGAAAUCCCCGGGCUCAACCUGGGAACUGCAUCCAAAACUGGCAAGCUAGAGUAUGGUAGAGGGUGGUGGAAUUUCCUGUGUAGCGGUGAAAUGCGUAGAUAUAGGAAGGAACACCAGUGGCGAAGGCGACCACCUGGACUGAUACUGACACUGAGGUGCGAAAGCGUGGGGAGCAAACAGGAUUAGAUACCCCGGUAGUCCCUGUCUCUUAUAA